UAAAGCAACAUGUAACUCAAGUAAACAUAAUACAAUGAAAUGAAGUUCUUCGAUUCUUAGAAAAAAAUCAAGAAUUAAACAAGCAUGCUGAAUAAAUAUGCAGUUUGACUACUUUGGCUAAUGCUAACCCACUUGAUUGUCUCUUCUUAAUGAGAAGAACGAUGGAAUCUUCCACGAUGUUGUAGUCUUUCUGAUGCCACUUGUGCAUCUCUUGAAGUCUCGAAGGAUAUUAUUGCAAUCACCUUGCCCAGAAAUAUUCGAGCAUCUUCCUGUUUGGUUGAUAUCUGAAAAGUCUGAAAGUAUUGAGCCGAGUUGAAGGGUCUUCAGAAAAAGGAUAGAGCAGUCGAGAGUUUAACAUAGUCACAAUCUGUGCUAAUAGAGUGUAGAAUUUUUGAAACGUGAUUAGUGAAUCAUCUCCAAUGAUUCUCCUGAGAUGGAAUUUGGCUAAUUUAACAGUAUGCCUCACUUGCCACCGAAGUGUGGAACACCAGGAGGGUUAAAAAUCCCAUAACUCACAAGGAGAGUGCAAAGCUUUCAGGUCAGUGAUUUGGUUGAAACUUUGCGUAUUGAUAGAUCUGAUUCCCCUAUUUAUGAAUACAUACCAUUAUAUGGGC